GAUCCUGGCUCAGAAUCAACGCUGGCGGCGUGCCUAACACAUGCAAGUCGAACGAGAAAGUGGAGCAAUCCAUGAGUAAAGUGGCGCACGGGUGAGUAACACGUGACUAACCUACCCUUGAGUGGGGGAUAACCUGGGGAAACCUUGGCUAAUACCGCAUAAUACCUAUCGGGUCAAAGGAGCAAUUCGCUUAAGGAGGGGGUCGCGGCCGAUUAGUUAGUUGGCGGGGUAAUGGCCCACCAAGACGAUGAUCGGUAUCCGGCCUGAGAGGGCGCACGGACACACUGGAACUGAAACACGGUCCAGACUCCUACGGGAGGCAGCAG
rnacentral:rRNA from 2 species